AUACGGAGGAUCCGAGCGUUAUCCGGAUUUAUUGGGUUUAAAGGGUGCGCAGGCGGGAGAUUAAGUCGGCGGUGAAAUUUUGCAGCUCAACUGUAAAAGUGCCUUCGAAACUGGUUUCCUUGAGUGUAGAUGAAGUAGGCGGAAUUUGUGGUGUAGCGGUGAAAUGCAUAGAUAUCACGAGGAACUCCGAUUCCGCAGGCAGCUUACUAAACUACUACUGACGCUCAGGCACGAAGGCGUGGGGAUCAAACAGGAUUAGAUACCCUGGUAGUCCACGCAGUAAACGAUGAUUACUAGUUGUUUGCGAUACAAUGUAAGCGGCUGAGCGAAAGCGUUAAGUAAUCCACCUGGGGAGUACGUUCGCAAGAAUGAAACUCAAAUGAAUUGACGGG
rnacentral:rRNA from 1 species